AGCCUGAUGCAGCGACGCCGCGUGCGGGAUGACGGCCUUCGGGUUGUAAACCGCUUUUGAUUGGGAGCAAGCGAGAGUGAGUGUACCUUUCGAAUAAGCACCGGCUAACUACGUGCCAGCAGCCGCGGUAAUACGUAGGGUGCAAGCGUUAUCCGGAUUUAUUGGGCGUAAAGAGCUCGUAGGCGGUUCGUCGCGUCUGGUGUGAAAGUCCAUCGCUUAACGGUGGAUCGGCGCCGGGUACGGGCGGACUGGAGUGCGGUAGGGGAGACUGGAAUUCCCGGUGUAACGGUGGAAUGUGUAGAUAUCGGGAAGAACACCGAUGGCGAAGGCAGGUCUCUGGGCCGUCACUGACGCUGAGGAGCGAAAGCGUGGGGAGCGAACAGGAUUAGAUACCCUGGUAGUCCACGCCGUAAACGGUGGAUGCUGGAUGUGGGGCCCGUUCCACGGGUUCCGUGUCGGAGCUAACGCGUUAAGCAUCCCGCCUGGGGAGUACGGCCGCAAGGCUAAAACUCAAAGAAAUUGACGGGGGCCCGCACAAGCGGCGGAGCAUGCGGAUUAAUUCGAUGCAACGCGAAGAACCUUACCUGGGCUUGACAUGUGCCGGACGGCCGCGGAGACGCGGCUUCCCUUCGGGGCCGGUUCACAGGUGGUGCAUGGUCGUCGUCAGCUCGUGUCGUGAGAUGUUGGGUCAAGUCCCGCAACGAGCGCAACCCUCGCCUCGUGUUGCCAGCACGUUAUGGUGGGAACUCACGGGGGACCGCCGGGGUUAACCCGGAGGAAGGUGGGGAUGACGUCAGAUCAUCAUGCCCCUUAUUUAGA
rnacentral:rRNA from 1 species